rnacentral:misc_RNA from 1 species
UCUCCGUAGGUGAACCUGCGGAGGGAUCACUAUAGGCUUGUAGAAGCUCUGAAACCACUGUUUAUCUACCUGAAUCUGCUUCGGUGGGCGGCCCCAGGGCGGGGCCGUAGCCGCAAGGCGCCCGCCGAAGACCCCUAAACUCUGUCGUCUUGAGAAUCUCUGAGUAAUUAUAUUAAACAAAAACAACUUUCAACAAUGGAUCUCUUGGCUCUG